GACGAACGCUGGCGGCGUGCCUAAUACAUGCAAGUCGAACGCAGUGGGGACGAGUGAUUAACACGUGGGUAACCUCCCAUCAGAGGGGAUAACACUUGGAAACAGGUGCUAAACCGAUACUGAUGGAUGGACCCGCGGUGCAUUAGCUAGUUGGUGAGGUAACGGCUCACCAGGGCCAGGAUGCUUAGCGGACUGAGGAGUGGGAACGGCAACACGGGGACGAGGACACGGCCAGGACCCCUACGGGGGGAGGAGGUGGGAAAUUUUCGGCAAUGGACGAAGGUCUGACCGGGAAACGCCGGGGGAGGGAGAAGGGUUUUGGGAUCGAAAGACUCGGUUGUUGGAGAAGCGGUAUCUAACCAGAAAGCCACGGCUAACUACGUGCCAGCAGCCGCGGUAAUAC
rnacentral:rRNA from 1 species